AUUCCUGCAGCGCUAUGGACAGCGCGUUGGACUUCUAAUCCAAAGGUCGUGUGUUCGAAUACCACCUGGGAUG